rnacentral:rRNA from 1 species
UUGUGGACAAUGGGCGCAAGCCUGAUCCAGCCAUGCCGCGUGAGUGAAUAAGGCCUUCGGGUUGUAAAGCUCUUUCGGACGGAAAGAAAUCGAGCAGGCUAAGACCCUGCGCGGAUGACGGUACCGUCAUAUGAAGCCCCGGCUAACUACGUGUCAGCAGCCGCGGUAAUACGUAGGGUCCGAUCGUUAAUCGGAAUUACUGGGCGUAAAGCGUGCGCAGGCGAUUGAUUAAGACAGGCGUGAACUCCCCGGGCUUAACCUGGGAACUGCGCUUGUGACUGGUCGGCUAGAGUACGGCAGAGGAGGGUGGAAUUCCACGUGUAGCAGUGAAAUGCGUAGAGAUGUGGAGGAACACCGAUGGCGAAGGCAGCCCCCUGGCCGAUCCUGCCGCUCAUGCACGAAAGCGUGGGUAGCAAACAGG